GGGAUUGGGGCUCAGCGGUAGAGCACUCGCCUAGCGUGGGCGGGACCUGAGUUCGAUUCUCAGCACCA
rnacentral:tRNA from 1 species